GCCGAUAUAGCUCAGGGGUAGAGCGUUUCCUUGGUAAGGAAGAGGUCCCGAGUUCAAAUCUCGGCAUUGGCU
rnacentral:tRNA from 1 species